CCUACGGGUGGCAGCAGUGGGGAAUAUUCGGCAAUGGGCGCAAGCCUGACCCAGCAACGCCGCGUGAAGGAAGCAGGCUUUCGGGUUGUAAACUUCUUUUAUGAGGGAAGAGCAGAUGUCGGUACCUCUUGUAUACGCCACGGCUAUCUACGUGCCAGCAGCCGCGGCAAUACGGAGGGGACAAGCGUCAUCCGGAAUUACUGGGUGGAAAGGGGGCGUAGUUGGUGAUGUUAGUCUGGAGUGAAAGGCGUGGGCCCAACCCACGGAAUGCUCUGGAAACUAUGUCACUGGAGUGCAGGAGGGGUGAGCAGAACUCCUAGUGUAGCGGUGAAAUGCGUAGAUAUUAGGAGGAACACCAGUGGCGAAAGCGGCUCACUGGAUUGUAACUGACGUUGAGGCUCGAAAGCGUGGGGAGCAAACAGGAUUAGAUACCCCAGUAGUC
rnacentral:rRNA from 1 species